rnacentral:ribozyme from 14 species
AAAACAACACAUCCAGAACGAAGAAGGGAAAAGAAAGAAAGGAAAGAAAAAGAGAAACCAAAAACACCUCCUCGUUCCCAUCGCUGCUUUCUCUUUUCUUCCUCUCCUUUCUUUUCUUUCCUUUC